AUGGGCUGGGGGAGGGGUGCUCCGCCCCGGGCUCCUCCCAGGCCCCUGGGGUGGGAGGACGGGUCCCACAGCAGCAGGGCCUUCCCGAGGCGUCCACAGUGUGAGACGCCGGCUAAGGCCCCACCACACCUGCUCCGCCGGCCUCCAGCCCAGACCACUGCCCCUCCCCACACGAGGGAAGCAGGGCUGCAGACACAGUGCAGCCGCGAGGAGCCACAUGUGCCUGGGGUCAGACCUGGGAGGGGACACGGAGCCCAGGGCUGCAGGGGAGCCGCGUCCACCACCCCCACCCUCGCCUCCGCCACGGCCCCCACCGUCUACCCUCUGGGUUCCAGCUGCGCGGGCACGUCCGGAUCCGCGGUGACCCUGGGCUGCCUGGUCUCCAACUACGUCCCAGAACCCGUGACCGUGACCUGGAACUCGGGCGCCCUGUCCAGCGGCGUGCACACCUUCCCGUCCGUCCGGCACUCCUCGGGGCUCUACUCCCUCAGCAGCACUGUGACCGUGCCCGCCGGCACCUCGGCCGGCAAGACCUUCACCUGCAAUGUAGCCCACCCGGCCAGCAGCACCAAGGUGGACAAGCAAGUCGAGACCCGCGACUGCCUCAGGUGUCCCAGAUGCCCACCCCCUGAGCUCCUCGGAGGACCCUCAGUCUUCAUCUUCCCCCCAAAACCCAAGGACAUACUCACCAUCACCCGAAAGCCCGAGGUCACCUGCGUGGUGCUGGACCUGGGCCAGGAAGACCCCGAUGUUGAAUUCUCCUGGUACGUGGAUGGAGUACAGGUGCACACGGCCAAGACGAAGCCAAGGCAGGAGCAGUUCAACAGCACAUACCGCGAGGUCAGCGCCCUGCCCAUCCAGCACCAGGACUGGCUUCAGGGAAAGGAGUUCAAGUGCGAGGUCAACAACAAAGCCCUCCCGGCCCCCAUCGUGAGGACCAUCUCCAAGGCCAAAGGGCAGCCCCGGGAGCCGCAGGUGUACGUUCUGGCUCCACCCAGGGAAGAGCUGGCCAAGAGCACGGUCAGCUUAACCUGCAUGGUCACCGGCUUCUAUCCAAGAGACAUCAACGUGGAGUGGCAGAGAAAGGGGCAGCCUGUGUCAGAGGACAAUUACAGCAUGACCCCACCCCAGCUGGACGCCGACGGCUCCUUCUUCCUGUACAGCAGGCUCAGUGUGGACAAGGACAGCUGGGAGCAGGGAGACACCUACACGUGUAUCGUGAUGCACGAGGCUCUACCCAGUCACCUCACACAGAAGACCAUCUCCAAGUCUCCGGAACUGCUCCUGGAGGAGGAGAGCUGUGCCGACGCCCAGGAAGGGGAGCUGGACGGGCUGUGGACCACCAUCUCCAUCUUCAUCACACUCUUCCUGCUCAGCGUGUGCUACAGCGCCACCGUGACCCUCUUCAAGGUGAAGUGGAUCUUCUCGUCGGUGGUGGGGCUGAAGCACACGGUCAUCCCCGACUACAGAAACAUGAUCGGGCAGGGUGCCUAG